AAUGAGUUAUAUAUAUUUGUAAAAUUCCAAUUUUAAUUUCUACUCAUUGGAAUUUUACAAAUAUAUGUAACUCAUUU
rnacentral:precursor_RNA from 1 species